rnacentral:rRNA from 1 species
UCCAGACUCCUACGGGAGGCAGCAGUGAGGGAUAUUGGGCAAUGGGGGAAACCCUGACCCAGCGACGCCGCGUGAGGGAAGACGGUCUUCGGAUUGUAAACCUCUGUCUUUGGGGACGAAAAAGGACGGUACCCAAGGAGGAAGCUCCGGCUAACUACGUGCCAGCAGCCGCGGUAAUACGGAGGGUGCGAGCGUUAAUCGGAAUUACUGGGCGUAAAGCGCUCGUAGGCGGUAUGUCAAGUCAAGGGUGAAAUCCCCGCGCUCAACGUGGGAACUGCCUUUGAAACUGGCAAACUGGAGUGUGUGAGAGGAUAGUGGAAUUCCAGGUGUAGGAGUGAAAUCCGUAGAUAUCUGGAGGAACAUCAGUGGCGAAGGCGACUACCUGGCACAUAACUGACGCUGAGGAGCGAAAGCGUGGGUAGCAAACAGGAUUAGAUACCCCCGUA